CCUACGGGAGGCAGCAGUGGGGAAUCUUGCGCAAUGGGCGAAAGCCUGACGCAGCCAUGCCGCGUGAAUGAUGAAGGUCUUAGGAUUGUAAAAUUCUUUUCACCGGGGACGAUAAUGACGGUACCCGGAGAAGAAGCCCCGGCUAACUUCGUGCCAGCAGCCGCGGUAAUACGAAGGGGGGCUAGCGUUGCUCGGAAUUACUGGGCGUAAAGGGAGCGUAGGCGGAUAGUUUAGUCAGAGGUGAAAGCCCAGGGCUCAACCUUGGAAUUGCCUUUGAUACUGGCUAUCUUGAGUAUGGGAGAGGUUAGCGGAACUCCGAGUGUAGAGGUGAAAUUCGUAGAUAUUCGGAAGAACACCAGUGGCGAAGGCGGCUAACUGGCCCAUUACUGACGCUGAGGCUCGAAAGCGUGGGGAGCAAACAGGAUUAGAUACCCUGGUAGUCCACGCCGUAAACGAUGAGUGCUAGUUGUCGGCAUGCAUGCAUGUCGGUGACGCAGCUACGACAUAAGACACUCCGCCGUCGGGAGGUACGGUCGCGAGAAGUUAAACGUAACUAAUAGUUAGUUAGUACGGCGUUGAGACGNGCCGACGGACGACGACGAGGGAGGAGG
rnacentral:rRNA from 1 species